AACGUAGGAGACAAACGUUAUCCGGAGUUACUGGGCGUAAAGGGCGUGUAGGCGGUUUGUUAAGUCUGGCGUGAAAGCUCUCGGCUAAACCGGGAGAGGUCGUUGGAUACUGGCAAACUAGAGGACGGUAGAGGCGAGUGGAAUUCCUGGUGUAGCGGUGAAAUGCGCAGAUAUCAGGAGGAACACCAAUGGCGAAGGCAGCUCGCUGGGACGGUACUGACGCUGAGACGCGAAAGCGUGGGGAGCAAACAGG
rnacentral:rRNA from 1 species